rnacentral:rRNA from 1 species
UACGUAGGGGGCAAGCGUUGUCCGGAAUCAUUUGGCGUAAAGCGCGCGUAGGCGGCUCAGUAAGUCCGCUCUGAAAGCUUGGGGCUUAACCCCAAGAGGCGGGCGGAUACUGCUGGGCUCGAGUCCGGAAGAGGCGACUGGAAUUCCUGGUGUAGCGGUGAAAUGCGCAGAUAUCAGGAGGAACACCGGUGGCGAAGGCGGGUCUCUGGGCCGAUACUGACGCUGAGGAGCGAAAGCGUGGGGAGCGAACAGG